GCCGAGGAGCUGGAAGCUCGGAAGCUCCCUUGCAAUCAAUACGGCAAUGGCCGACGUCGUACGGCAGUCAGGGCUCGACUUCGGACGAAAACGCAUCAGGCAAAAAUCCCAGCGACGCUUUGGCACUCCUUUGCAGUCUGUCUGAGGGGACGCAUUAUACCGCGAAACUGCACCGGUCAGCAGCUUUCCAAAAGUACCGAAGGAUCCUCGGAAAGGAUGCGCUGCUGCUGAAUCCUCCGAGGUGUUCUGCAGGGUCGAGCGAACCCCGCAGGGAUAACUGACCGUGCCCAACGGUGGGAAUUGACCCAGGCAUCGGUCGCAUUGGCGCGCCGAGGUUCGAAAACGGCAGGGUACGAAGCGCGAAACCACCCCUAAACGGAGUCACCCCUUCCUCGCGAUUUAACAUCCUUCUCGAAAGCUGCGAAAGCACUCGCAGGACUUCGACUCGGUUCGAAGACGAACGCGGUGACUUUUGUCUCUCGGUACACGUUUCCGAGUCGGGCUGAAACACCGGGGGUAGCUUGAAAUCCGGGAAAACGGAAAUCCGAUCGAGCCUGAUUCCCGGUAAAAGGAACCGAGAUCCGAUAUUCCCGGAGGGAAUCGUCGGGCGAAGCACGUGCCGGGUGUCUGGGGAUAUUUGGGCGACGAAGCUCGGUAUCACGGUCGGAUUUUUGGGCUCUGUGAACGCUGAAAGGAUCCUCCAUCUCGUUUUCGGGGGUAGCCGCAAGUCCGACGGGAAUUUACAAAAACACUCUCAAAACGGCAACCCGGCGACGCGAUUCGAGGGCCCCGCCAACCACCGAGCGAGACCGCGAACGAGCCAAGGGUCCGGUUCCCUUAAUUCUACCGCUCCGGAAGGCAUUGCGACCCGUGAAAUGGAGGAGAAAUCAUCGGCCCGAUUUUCAGAGUACCUCUUUGCCAAAAUGGGCGGGCAGGACGUCCUGGCCUCGCAGGGUCCCCGCAAGGUGACAGCCGACACGAGGAAGUGGAUUCAGGACAACCUUCUCCUCCUCAUCACAUUGUCGGGUGUUCUGCUUGGCGUCAUCCUCGGCUUCGGAUUGCGACCCCUUGAACUAGGCGGCAAUGCAGUAAUGCUGAUCAGCUACCCCGGAGAGCUGUUUAUGAGACUACUCAAGCUGAUGAUUCUGCCCCUGGUAAUAGCCAGCCUAAUAUCGGGGUCGGCGAGUCUGAACGCUCGAAUGAACGGCAAGAUUGCGGUGAGAACGCUGGUCUACUUCAUCCUGACAUCUCUCUUCAACGCCAUACUCGGAGUGGCUUUAGUCAUAGCGAUUCACCCGGGAGAUCCGGGUCUCAGGGAGUCACCAGCGACGGCGUCACGUGCCAGAGUCGUCAAUAUCCUGGAUAGCCUGUUGGACCUGGGAAGGAACAUGUUCCCGGACAAUCUGUUUCAAGCGGCUUUUCAGCAGGCACACACUGUGUAUGUCCCGAAGCAGCAGUCGAUCCUGAACGACUCGGUGAAGGUGCUUCCGGAGAGUCUCCCCGAAGAAGAACUGACCAGGGUGGUGCGGUACAGAAGUGGCACCAAUACGUUGGGCAUCGUAUUCUUUUGUCUAGUGUUCGGCACCUUCCUGGGCACUCUAGGCGAGAAGGGUCAAGUAGUGAUCGACUUCUUCAAGGCGGUAUUCGAGGUGAUAAUGCGAAUGGUCUCCAGCGUGAUGUGGUUGACACCGUUGGGAAUAACAUCAGUGAUCGCCGGUAAGAUACUCGGGGUCGAUGAUCUUGGUCUCGUGAUGUCGCAGCUGGCCUGGUUCAUCGUUACCGUCGUCGUCGGCGUCUUCUUCUAUCAGCUGGUUAUCAUGCAGCUGAUCUAUCUCGCCUUUGUCCGCAAGAACCCCUUUAAGUUCUACGCGGGUCUGGCCCAGGGCACCCUCACCGCCUUCGCCAUGGCUUCAACGGCCGCCGCUCUUCCCAUCACCUUUCGGCUGAUGAACGAAAAGCUCCGGGUCGAUCCGCGGAUCACGAGAUUCGUCCUGCCCAUCGGUUGCAACAUAAACAUGGACGGCACUGCUCUCUUCGUCGCUGUAGCCAGCAUCUUCAUCGCUCAAAUGAACGGGAUCUACCUCGGCUUUGGAGAGAUCAUCACUGUGAUACUGACCUCGACUGCCGCUUCCGUUUCAUCCGCAUCGGUGCCCAGCGCAGCUUUGGUACUUCUUCUAGUUGUCCUCAGCGCAAUCGACGCUCCUGUUCAGGACGUCUCGCUUCUAUUUGCUAUCGACUGGUUUGUCGAUCGCGUUCGAACCACGAAUAACAUGCUGGGCGAUUGUUACGCGGCUGCGGUUGUCGAACAGUUGUCGAAAAAGGAACUCAUGGCGGUUGACGCUGCCGCGUAUCAGUCAGAGACUAAGGUAGGGCCAUUUUUUACACACAGUCAGAAGCUGUUCUGCCCACCACAGUUGCAAAUGGCUGCAUUUCGGCGAGCAGAGUACCGGACCCAGACACCGUGAUCGUCGAGAUGCAGGAUGAUUCAAAGAAGAACGGCAUCGCCAAGUAAACAUGCUUGUUGCGGAGCGACGAAGGCGACAAAACCGAUCAACGAGGAGACGGUUUAACGUAAUGAGCGUAUCAUCUGACGUGGUAGAUUUGCUGGAAUUAAAACAGUAAGGUAGCACCUAGCGAUGAGGUUACUUAUUCACGGACUAGAAGGGUAUAUUGAAGUUGAACUUGUUAGUGAGAGGGCAACGAUUUUUUGUAACAUUAUAACACAUCUGCGCCCCGUAUGUAAUGAGCUAGCUUUUACGCUAGUACAUGAAUCAUAUGCAGCGUCAGGUACGCUACGAAAUGAAAAAUAAUACAGUUACAAAAGUAGGGUACGUUUAUUUUUUUUUUUUAUCAUUGUUAGAAAACAGAGAAAAAGAGAGAGAAAGAGUGAAAGUCAAGUCCUACAACAGUUAAAAUUAAUAUGUAAUCAUAGAUUGUAGAGUACCGAGACCCUCCGUGUUUUUAUAAUUUUAUAGUUUCAACAAUUUGCGGUUGUUCGCAAAUACAUAAGUAUGCAAUACACUUUUAGUAUACGUAGCAAAAAAGGCCUAUAAGAUAUCGAUGAAACGGUGAAUUAUUGGAAUCUCGUACGCUUCUGGUGAUUCAUUAAAGUAAUUUACAUAUUCGUCUCAUAUUUUGUAAAAGAAUAUGUAUAAUUAUUAUUUUUUUUUCUUUUGAAUCAUGAAGAAAACACAUCAAAAAGUUACGAAAAUUCCUGGUACCGGAAGGGUGCAGUUGUUACUUGAACAAAUUGUUACAACAUUUGCAAUGUGAAUUAAAUUCGCGAUCAUGUUACUGGCAAUAAUAUGUAUGAGUGCGGAAAAGAUGCCGCGGUGUUAAUUCAAUUGUAAAAAAUCAGGUAGCUUGGAAUUUUAAUAGGCUCCAUAAACUCCCAUCUAUUGGAAAUACAUGAUCCACAUCACUCUACAAAAUGCGGAAACACUAAACUUGGUCCAGUAACGGAGAACUUUGCAAAAAGCUUGUCAAAAGUUUAGUGUAAAUGAAGCGUCGCUGUACACGACUGAGUAACUUGACAGAUCUGGCAAGAACCGAGAACAAGUUACUACAGGAUCGUGUGACGGCAAGCGUGACGUAUUCUCCUAUAUUUAAUGCAAAAGCAACAAUAUUGACGUAUACAACAUAUAAACUAACCGAUAAUGCAUAAUAAUAGUAAUAGUAAUGGUGAAAAAAUGACGUGAAAUAUUAACUGAGAAAAAUUGUACUUUUAUAUUUGUCACUUCUUAGGGUCAAAUUGUCAAUAUAAUGAAAGUGUAGUUUAGGUAUAUCACUGUGAUACGUGUAAUCGAACCCGUACAUUCCAGGAACACUUGUUUCGGGGAUUAUCCAACUUCAGUAAUUAAGGUUCUCGCGACCUACAAGUUCCGCUAAAUGACAUGACUUCAGGUCAAACGAUAGGCUGAUUUCACCCCAUCACUUGGCCAACAAAUAAAUACGAGUGCUGUUCGCCAAGAACAGCGUGUGUUCAGAAACAUCAACAAGCGUAUGCAAUUAAUGAACUUUCUCUGAAGCCAUAAGGUCAGUGAAACUCGUAUAGUCUAAUGUGUACCCCAGUCAUACGAUUGCCUUGCGUUACACUUUCAGAUCCAGAACAAUAGAGUACAAAGUGCCAGCUGAGGUGAAUCGGUUAUUUUUUCUAGCAGCGGUACCGUUCAGGGUGGUUGUAAAUGGAGUUCAUAUACCAGUUCAAGGACAUAUCCAAUUAGAGUAACAGGGGAAUUGAGUGAAUUUACGACUUUCUGAAAACACGACGAAAGGUUUCAAAACUAUCAUGGAGUAAAUUUCGUCCCCGGAACAAGUAGUUGCAAUUAGCGUAGCUCGAUUAAGAUCCAGCAUUAAAACUUUCGUUCGUACAUUCGCGAUUGGAAACUAAAGAAAAUUCGAGUGUGGUGCCUUAUUUUGACGUUUAAAAGGUGCUGGAUUUGUGAAAGUAUAUUUUGAAAAUUGGUUUCCACCGUCGGCGCACGAUCUUUGAAAGAUCGGGUCGGACAUCGGACGAGACUCUCUGACAUAAUUUGAAUAACUGAUAAAAAUGUAUCCAAGAUCGGUGACUCGAUCGAAAUAAAGUCGGUAUAUAAUUUC